UGGGGAAUAUUGCACAAUGGGCGCAAGCCUGAUGCAGCCAUGCCGCGUGUGUGAAGAAGGCCUUCGGGUUGUAAACCUCUUUCAGUAGGGAAGAAGCGUAAGUGACGGUACCUGCAGAAGAAGCGCCGGCUAACUACGUGCCAGCAGCCGCGGUAAUACGUAGGGCGCAAGCGUUAUCCGGAAUUAUUGGGCGUAAAGAGCUCGUAGGCGGUUUGUCGCGUCUGCCGUGAAAGUCCGGGGCUCAACUCCGGAUCUGCGGUGGGUACGGGCAGACUAGAGUGAUGUAGGGGAGACUGGAAUUCCUGGUGUAGCGGUGAAAUGCGCAGAUAUCAGGAGGAACACCGAUGGCGAAGGCAGGUCUUCUUGGGCAUUAACUGACGCUGAGGAGCGAAAGCAUGGGGAGCGAACA
rnacentral:rRNA from 1 species